UGAAAUAAGCAAAUGUGAUAAGAAGGAUGGGGGGAUGCGGAUGUAGAUCCCAAUUUUGGCAAAGCUACCCAAUGGGCACAAAACAUUUGCUUUUCGUGAAAUACAACUAAAAUGCAGUAGCUGCAAAAUGAUCUUUAGCUGCUUGAAUCCCAGCAAGAGCGUCCUUUAGUCUUUAAUUGCACUGCUUGGGAAAGUUGAUGAUAUCCUUGUAAUACAACAGCUGCAUCCAGCUCCACCACUACCUUGGUUCAGCUUUUUCUUUGGCUACUGCAAUGCUCUUUCAAACAGCAAGUAAUUCAGCCUCCUUUGCAGAUCUUGCUUGCACCACCACACCCCUGCAGGCAAUCAUCUCCCCUGUUUCAUUUCUGGCCACAAUCCUAACAACAGCAUGUUUGGUUCCUUCAAUGCAAGAUAGACUAAAAGAGCUUUUCUAAUCUGUAAAGGUGACAGUUUCAGGAUCAGGUGAUUUAUGGUUAAAAUUUACUGCAUUUCAAGUGUUCCAGAUAUAACAACAGGUGUAGGCAAUCAUUCUUAAGCAUUAUCAGCCCGUACCAAGUCCUUCGAUCUCCUGACCUCACAUUUGUAGAAUAUCAGCUGGUACCAAUAAGUCAACAUCACCGGUGAUUAGUGGUCUCCCAUACGUGUGGGUUAACAUAAUCAUAAGAGUUUUUCAGCCAAAGGAAAAACCAUCAAAAGGGUCACUAAUUCUUGACAAUAAGAAAGCAAAGUAUCCCUGUUCUUGUCUUGUUUGUUCAUUUUUGGUUGUUGUCGAGUGGGUAUCCAUAUAAAUAUCUAUGUCUGAUCACUCUUAUAGUUGUUCAUUGCUCAUGAAAGGUAAUUGUUGUUCAGGACUAAUUGAUUGUCCUUUCCAGAUUUUUGGAUGAGAACUAUGGGGAAUGCGGAAAGAGUAUCAAUGGUGGAGGAUGUAUGAUGCUUGGAGUCUUCUGUUUCCUUCCUCUCUAACCUCUCUCUGGAUGAGAAAUAUGAGUAGAAAGACUAUCAAGUGGUCUUCACGGCCAUCUCCCCUCUCUCAAACAGUUAUAUUUUUUAAGUUGCUCGAAGUUUGGGUACUUUCUAGAGGAUGGCUUCCCUCCCUCCCUCAAAGUAUUCCGCAUAAUUCAAUGUGAGAUUUCGAAGGAUGGAUCCUCUCUCGCCGGCGACUACUGGCACCUCAUCCAAGAAAUCCCACUCAUCGUGAUUGAUCUAAUUUGGAUCCAACAAGAAGAUAUCUCUCCACUGUCAAAGUUUUGUUCUUCAGAAUAUCCCACUGUCAUCUGUAUUUGGCAAAAUCUCUCGGGAGGAUCAAAUGCAAACACUGUUGAGGAAAGGCCGAGAGGAGCAAUCAGUAAGACUAUGCUCUGUUACUCUGUUGAGUAAUUGUAAAAUUCUCACGCCUGCCAUGAAGUAUUUUGAUUUAAGAUUGCAAGAAGGUCGUCAUCCAAUGCCAGUCGCAACCCAGUUAUCUCGGGUAGGCAAGUCUCGUCAUCCAAUACCAAUAUGCCAAAGCUCCCGUCAUGGGCAAGGCAAGAUA